GCAAAUGCAAGGCAAGAGUGCAGGCCACGUCAGUUAAAUUAAAAAAAAUGAAGAACGACAAAAAAAGAAAGAAAGACACUCAGAGCUCUUCGUGUGGUGGUUGUCUUCUUCUUCGAGUGGGUAGAUGAAAAAGGCAGAUCUUUGGGUCUUCGUGGGUAGAUGAAAAGGGCCAAUCUUUUUCAUGAUUUCUACGACCACUACAACAUUCAUUGGCGCGAGUGAUUUCUACGACUGGUAGGGAUCAAAGAGCUUCAUGGAUUUAGAUCGCCCGUUCGUUGCAAUAUGACUUGUUGGAUCUUUGGUGCAAAUUGAUAAGAUCUUCGUGUGGGUCGUCUUCGUGGAUAGCUUCAUCAGACAUGGUCUUGAGCUUCCAAUAUUAAUAAUCUCUGUAAGCUGCGAAGGCUUAGUACAUUCCUUUGGCAGUGAUCUUGAGCUGGAAA